GCCGGGAUGGCGGAACGGUAGACGCGACGGACUCAAAAUCCGUUGGGCAUUACGCCCGUGGGGGUUCGACUCCCCCUCCCGGUA
rnacentral:tRNA from 1 species